UCACAUUUCUGAGUCCAAAAUGCAAGGUAGUUUUCUGUCUCUAGAAAAAAGUAAAAGUCAUAAAAGAAGCCCUAAUUUUCAAAACAUUAGAUUUGUAUUUUAUUUUACAUAAAAUGAAUGCAUGCAGGUGGUUGUGCAAGUCAGUACAGGGUUUGUUCAGGCAGGGUUUGUGGUUUCCUAGCCCACCUGUUUUGCCUGCAGAGCAGCAAAGAGCACGGCUGUGUUAGCAAUCAUAAAUCCCGUUCAUCUCCUGGCGGACUCCAGGGACACAGGUGUAGGGUGAAACCCGGGCUGGAUGCAGCUGUAAGGGGAGGGAGGGAGCGGCAGAGCUUCCCCUUGCAGAACCCGAAGUGGGCAUACAGAGGGCCUCACUCGGUCCCUCCCAGCUGCCCUUGGGUCACACUGCUCAAGCCUUUAGGGUAGCCGAAUACUAUGUGGUGCUGCAAAAUGCGCCUCGGGGGCGUUGAUCUCUGCUGGCUCUGAAACUGGAGAGGUGCUGUAGCUGCCUUAGCUACUGGCCCACCGUACCGGUGGGUGUCGGCUAGCAGAGGGUGGCUCCAAGACCGUUUAUGUAUUGCUGUAAUGUUUAAACACUCUACAGCGCCAAUAUUGAGCGUGACGGCCUCAGUGCGUCCUUUAGUGCCUAACACUUCAUCUUUAGUUAGUAAUUACAAGAAAGAAGCAUCUAGCGGAGAUUUUUGUUUCAGCUUUCCAUCGCUGAUUUUUUUUUUCUCCUCUGGCAUUAUUCUACCAGGUAAUAACCAAAUAUAGUUAAAUUUAGGAAGACAGGUUUGAAAUAAUGUUGGUGUUGAUUGGGAACUACUUCUGCCUAGGACCAAGGUAUUUAAAAUAAAUAAUUGUCUAAGUUGUCAUUUAUUAGAGAUUGAAACAUAAACACUAGUAGUGAAUGGAAGCAAUUUCCUUGAACUUCAGACACUAGAUGCCCAGUGUGUGCUUGGGCUUUCCUUGCACUCUGUGGAGAGCACUGUACACAUCCCAGGUUUGAUUUCAGCACCUCUUACCCUAAUUCAGAAUCUCAGUUUAGAGAACACAAGCUAGCGGGAGCUUGAGCCCAAACAGCACUUGUGCGUGCAUAAUUAUUCUCACGUGGGGUCCACUAUGUGUGACAGGUAAUGACUAGAUAGUUAAUUAUGUGAGCAGUUUGUGUAGGAAUGGGCUCAAUUCUUGUGUCUGUGUUGCAGGAAGACUAAUUUGUCUCUUGAGAUGUUCGUUCCUUUCUGUUGACCACAGAGGAAGCAGAGGUUAGACUAGUUCAGACUUAAGAUAUCUGACCUCCACAUCUAGCUGAGAUACAGCUUAGCUGCUGUGCCUGCAGGCUGCUGCUGCUAUCAGAGCUACUUAGGGACCAAUUCAAGCAAAAAAUUGAAGAGGCAUCUUCACAAAGGCUACAAACAGCAGAUGGCAUCUGGCUUUCUCUUCCAUAAAAAGCAGGCAGUACCGAACAUGAACAGGAUUCACUUCCUCGUCAUCGGCAGGUAUAAAGCCUUUUGAACCUGUUUCCAAAACUGUCCGUGGUGCAAGAAGUGUGUUUGAUGUAUGUAAACACAGAGACAUGCCACAGCAAUGAUUAAGGGAUUAGAGGAAAAGGGUCAGGAGGAUAAGAGAAGGUUAUUACAAGCAUAAGGUUGUAUUCAUGACACCAGCAUACACUGUGGUUCUUCUGGAAGUUUCCAGUCUACACCAGACUAUACAGAGCUUUCUGCAGGAUUUAAGUGUGCCCAGCACUUGUUCUCUGCUUGAGGUUAAUAAGAUGGAAAAUCCUGUGUGUGAUUCCUUGUUGUAAUGACCUGUUUGUAUACAGAUGGGCUUUCAAGUUAUGGAAAUGACCCGUGACUUAUGAAAUAGCCUCUUCCUGUUUGCAAUAAUGCAAUGAAAUAUUGAGUCAUCUCUGAUCCUUGAGCCUUCCCUGUACAAACUCUUUGUUGUUUGCGACCUGUCCUUUGGUAUAUGGAUUGAUGCUAGUGGACGACUGUUUUCACUUGAACUGGUCCCAGUUUUACCAGUUUUGGAUUAAUUGCUGCUCUUUCCUAGGGAAAAGGUUGAUCCACAUCACUGAUGAUUUGAAUUGUAAUAAUUUACUGAAAGAUUACCUGUGUAUAGUUAGGUUUAAAUUAAUGAAUUCUUGAUUUGGGGGAUUAAUGACUUGCAUUUACUGUAUGUAGCUAACUGUCCUCCCACAGAGUAAUGAGUCCAGGAUUCCACCAAGUACUGGAUUCAGAUGGAAAGUACAUACUGUAAUGCUCCACCAGAUUAUAUUUCACUGCCUUUUGGAGAGAUGCCCUAAUGCCAGUGAAAUCUCAGCAAUAUGACAUCUGACCCUUCAAGGGAAGAAAUAGAGUAGGUGCCUGAAAACAUAACACGAAGUCUUUUGUGCAGUAUUUUGUUGGGUAUUUUAUCCCUUCUUUACAGAAUAUAUUAAGGCUUAGGUAGAGCAGGUUGGAUGGCCCUCACAGUGGUUAAUUUUAGUUUAAUUUUUACAUAAUGUCUUGGCUGAAGAGCUUCAUUUGUAGUGGCUGUGCGGACUGCUGGGUGUGCUGCCAAAUAGCUGGAGAUUGCAGAAUGGUGUUGUUGUUAAUAUGCUUCUGCCAGAGAGACAUUCCUGUUCAUCUCUGGGACAGCGUCAUAAAUCACUUAUUGGUCCUGCCCAUCGCUGGACCCAGUGUGAACUCAAGUAUAAUGUAUAUGCCAGUUUACUGCCACCGUGCCUUCCUAGAAGCUGCUCAUUUUAGCCAUUACCCUACAAAGAAGGAGGAAAGAAGGUGGAACAAGCCAGAUUGCAUUGGUGGGAUAAAAGAGCCAACAGUUUUCCAGGUUUGAAAUGCAAUGUCGUUAAAUAUUGACAACUGACAGUUGUGAUAUCAAGGCACAGAAUUUUGAAAAGUUUUUGACAAGUUAAAUACAGAUGCAACAUGAGGCAUUUUCUUGUGGAACAUUUUAAUGGCUAUUCUUGGUUUUCCCAGUGGGGUCUUACUUUCUUAGAGCAGAGAUUUGUCACCAGUUAAUUGAUUUUUCUUAACUUUCUGCCAAAAUCAACAAGGAAAGAAUUGGCAGGAUGGACUUUGGAAACGGGAGUUGUGACAUGUUUGAAGAGAACACAUGCUCAGAGGAGGGUCUACUUCCCUUUCAAACAGCAAAACAAGCUCUGCUCUUUCCUGCAUGUAUCUUGUCUCUGCCUUGCAGCAGUGCCACAGAGAUGCUUCAUCUUGUGAGAAGGCAAGGGAAAGUGAUUUACUGAAGAACAGCCUUGCACAUGCUAUUGCAACUUCAGUCAUUCUAUUGAGUUGAGCUAAGGCAAGUAUUAAAGCAAAUUUAGACUGUAAGGAUUAGAAGUCUUUGCAAUUAUUACAGGGUCUGUUUUUCUACUGACAUGCUGCAGCUUCUGUGACAAAGGAAAGAAAUACAUAUUAAUACAACAGUACAGAAAAAUAUCACCCUGCUGCCUGGUCGUGGGUGACAUGGGGCAGACAUGUCAAUCUUCUGAGAGAAAUCAACAGUGCAAAUCUUAGGUGGUUGAAAACUGCCAUUUUUCUAAUACUGAAAGAUCAAACAUCAGAAAAUGUGAGACAGUACCCAGAGAAGUUCUAUCUUUCAGAAAUGUAACUAAACACAAGUAGCCAGAAGUUCAAGAACUAACUUAAAACAGAUGAUAUCACUUCUCUUCCCAUUCUUCUCCUCACCCUUCCGUGAAACACUACAACCAAAACCAGCAGCACACCAUGUCUUCCCAAGCCUCAAUAUUCACUCACACAUAAAGAAAUGAAGCUUUUUAAAAUCCCCUUGACAACUGGUACAAGAAAACUGUUUAGCUAUGAGUGGAAUGUCCUCUUAUAGCCUUGUGUUUUUUAGGCCAAAAGCUAACAAGUUGAGCUAUGAGCUCUUAUUACUACUUCUGUUCCUCCACAGUAAGGAUCUGGAGUGCUUUAAAAAUGCUGAGAGCAUGACAGUGAUUGACAAGAAAAUAAGGAAUGUAAGGACGUACUGUGCUUUUUAAAAUUUUAAUUAUUUUUGUAAAAACUGAUAGUGAUGGAGGUCCUGCAUUUGCAAUUUGAACCAGGAACCAUGGCUGUUUUCUCAACCAUGACCCUUACACACUGCCUUGCACCCUUAUAUAGGAUCACCUAAUUUGGUAAAAUCCCAGAGUAACUUUAGGGAGGGAGAUCCUAAGAAAUUAAACAGUUGCUUGAACCAUUCAUGUUUUAACUUUUUCUCAGUGAAAGCAUGUCUUAAUUUUAGUGUGCGCAGUGCAUGUGGGAGGCUCUUUCCAUCAUUUUUAUUACUGGAUGUGUGCAGUGAUGGAUCUCCAAGCAUAUGGAUUUGGUUCCAGUUCACUGUGGGCAUAUGACUAUCUUGCCAUUGAAUUGUGUCUGGUAUGGAGUUCAUAUGCAUUUUUUAACAGUUGGUAGCUGAUAUCUAAUCUGACAUGAAGUGACAAUGGGACAGAGUACAGUAGUUGUAAUCGCAUUAAGCGUGUCAGUGAGAAAUCAGUAAAAUAUUAGAGAAAUUUUAACUGACAGCAUGAGUGAAAGCUGGAUCUGCACCUUGGGUAGCAGGUUAUGGUAUAACUGGUCCGAUGCCAAGGGCCCUAAUAUUGGAUUUAUUGUGUCAUUAAGCCAUGGCCAGAGAGGAGAAGGAGGCUGAACUGUCUCUUACAGUUGCUAAAAAAGGAAAACACUGCCACUGGUAUGUUCUCAGUGAAAAAGCCACUGCUGUGUGAAAACUGCUGUUGGAGAUGAUUUAACCAUCAUCUGUCUGCAUGUUAAAUCUUCAAAAUAUUCUGUAACUGCAUAGAGAUGGGAAAAACAGUGUGAAACUGCUAACAUGUAAAAGCAGGGAGAUUUAAGGAUGUGUUACAAGCAUUCAUAUAACUGCACUUAUUGAACUGAGCUUGUACAGUUCUUACCUGCUUGGAUCAUUUAACUCGCCAAAGACCAAAAUGUACUCUUAAUAUUCCACAGACACCUAUGCCUAGUAAUGACAGGGUCCUCCAGUGACAUGUGAACUAUGUUAAAAUAUUAGCUAAAUAAUAGCUGGGUUUUUUUCUGGUCAAAAGAAAACUAGACCUUCAUUAAAUUACAAGAUAAGCUUAAAAAAAAAUUACUUUUUUCAUUAUGUGACCUGGUUCUCUGCUGUGGUUACUCAGUGACUGGAUAAUUUAGAUCUGCUAAUUUAUUGACUUAACUGAAAACACAGCCUAAAUCAUCUAAAACGUAAAUAAUUGCUUUGUUUUUCAUCAGUCUGUUGAAAUUUUAAGUAAAUUAGGUAAAUGUGCUUUGUGAGAUUCAUGCUUACGUGGGGCAUGAGAUGUGCUCACUUCAUCAGCUCACAAGCUGGGUCACAGUCUGUGAGAGAAAACAGCUCUCGGGUGGAAUCACCAGCCUCUCGCACCCAUCUCCACAGUGACUACCUACAUCCCUUGCAUUACACAGGCUCUACAUCCCCAAUGAAGUGACCACAAGAGAUUGCUAUCUUGCAAUACUGACAAUGCAGUUGUUUAUAUAGUGUAUAAACAUGCUUGUGCACUCUGGAUGCACUAACAUGCCUUCAUGUUAGAUAAUUACCUGCAUAAGUCAACACAAGGCACAAAAUUGCCAGAUGUCUUCACCUCUAAUGAACACCUACAUGGACACACAGCUGCUUUGGAACAGGACAAAGCAGGCACUUAGAGAGCCUCCAAACUAACUGCCACAGGGCAAAGCAUCCCCAGCCUCCUGCAGCUUGCAGGGGGAGUACCCACUCUCCUCAUGUGCACUAUCUAUUGUGUUCCCUGGAACAUGGUGUGUAACAAAACAUACAGGCUGUUGUUUUGGCACCAGGGAAGAUGCUGCCUCUGUCUUGGAUGCUGCAGCUGUGGUGGGAACCCUGCAAUGGGUUCUUUGCUUUUCUUUGGUACAGUUAAGCAUGAUCAGUUGAGUGAACCACUUUAAGGACAGGAUGGACAGAGAGAAGUGUUUGGGAUAAGAAACCUAAAUUAACAAGUUAAUUAAGAAACUUUCUGUUCUGCCUAACUUCAACAGUUCUCUGUUGUUAUUGUUGGGGUUUUUAAAAAGUAUUCCUUUAUGUUUAAAAAAAUCUGAUUGCUGAAGUUGAGAGCUUUGUGUUUUGGGAUGUCUGCUUCAUGGGAAAACUGGAGGUAGGUCUGCCUCAAAGAUCUGCUGACUCCACUAGAGUGCUAAUAUAAUUAUAUAUGUUUAUUACCUCCGAAAUGAGGAGGUGCCUGCUUUAAGGAACAUUGUAGGAUUAUAAUGUAGUUAAUUGCUGGAGAUGCUGUUCCUCUGCCCUGUGCUUAGUGGAUUUGCACUUAGAAGAUUUGCAUGCUUACAUGAUGAGAGCAAAAUGCCGAACAUGAAGAUUUGAAUGUAAACCCACUGCUAAACUUUGGCCUGGAAGCAUCAAGUUGUUCUUCUGAUCAUUCUCAAGUACAGGUGAGUACAGAGGUAAAGAGUAAUAAAAGGGCAAGGCAAAAGAAAAGGACUCAUAAAGCACUUCAGCAGAGCUACCCUGUUGGCCUGUAUCAAUGAGUCUGAGUUUUGCCCUUUUAAAUGCUUGUCUUUGCAUACUUUUAAAAGUCUUUGCAUACUUUGCACCAUGGCCCCUUUAUAAAAGAUGCAGAGCUUGAACAAGGCAUAUUUGCAGCUCCUCUACCUAUUUAUAAGCUGGUGUGUACACUUUGCAGGGUUUCACAUAGUGUGAACGAAACAAAUUUAUUCCUGAUGGAAGCAGCAAGGGGAAAGGGCAAAAGGAGAAGCCAUAAUUUCUGCUAUUAGGAAGAAAAUGGAGAUAGAGAAAAUCUAAGAUUUUAUUUGAGCAACCUAUUAAUGUGUCUGCUUGCUACUGUAUAUCACCAGCUCAUCAGCAUGUAUAUAUUCUGCUUAUUCGCUGUAUUUACUGGGUGACUGGAUAAUUCUGCAAAUUUAUUGGCUUCACUGAAAUUGCAACCUAAAUCAUAUAAAAUGUGGGGUAAAUACAUAUGAGGAUUAUUGUGGGUUGGUUUUAUUAUGGGGCUAGAGUGUGUCUCUUUUCACAGCACUGAAGUGGUUAAUUAGACACAGAAACACAUAACUUUUACCUUUGUCUCCAUGUGUUUAAAAAUAUGCUAAGAUACCCUAACACAAUAUUGUCACAUAUAAACCCAGCUCAAAGCAAUAACUGACUGUGAUGAGGCCAGUAACCUGUCCCAAUUCUAUCUCACUUGGCACAUCUCCACAUGCUGAUUCUCAUGGUACAUCCCAAUGUACAUCCAAUGUACAUCCAGCUGUUCCCAGUACUAAGUUCACUUUUUAAGUUCAUUAUGGAUUGUUUAUGAUUGACAGUAUUUACUGUUUGUAGAUUUUGAACACAGUGCUGUAAAUAAAUAGGGAUAUUAGGCAGCUGUAUGUUCCUACACUAUGCAAAUAAACUGUAGCUGGAGGUUUUUCCUACUAGCAAGUCAGGCAAACAGAUUGUAAAAGCAGUUGGGAGUUAGCCCAGGACUUUUAUGAUGGUUGUGAGGAAGUACAUUGUGAGUACUUCUGUAAUCACUCCGUUUAGGUCAGCCAGUGAAUUGUUUUACCGUAGAGUCUACGGAGUCCUCAAAAUGGCUGCACUUAGUUUGGCAUUUACUGAGGGACAGGCAAGGGCUUUAGGCAUGGCCAGUAUGCCAAGAAGUCAUCAUGCUCAUAUCGCUUUGUCUUGGAGUCUUGGGGAGUGGGCUGGCAGGCACAGAUCUGCAGCAGGACCCGUCCUUCAAGGCCGAAAUUUCUGUCCUCUCCAUGUCCCCCACACCAGUGUGCCACCAUUGUACUGAUGUGAUUUGAUGGGCAGGGUCUACUCACACCUUUGAUGAAAGAAAUUAAUUUAGACCUUGUUUGGGACCCCUUGGGCAGGGUCUGCAGGGAUGCUGUGACUUUAGCCCCAUCCCACCCACUGCCAGCCACUUUCUACCUCCUCAAAACCUUUGCAGCAAGGCCAAGGAAGCUUUCCUUUUCAGUAUACUGAAGUGAUUGCUCACUCAGGAUGUUUUUUCCAAGAACCAUGGCUGGUGGCAUCUGUAUGCAACUACAGAGCUCUGGGGAUCCUCUGGAGAUGGAUGCAGGCAGGGUAUCCCAGCAUAGAAGUCCUCAAGAGCAGCAUAAAAUGUCUACAGUCAUUAUGUCCUUCUGUUUAUUCUGACCCUGUACAAGAUGAAGCUAUGUGUCAUAUGCUUAAUAUUAAAUGGACUGAACAGGUUUCUCUUUAAUUCUUUUAAUCUUCUUACAAGAUACAAAAUAGGCUUAAGUCAAAACUAUUCCUUAAUGUAAAGGGUUGAGGGGGGCGGUUGCUUGCUUGGCUGUAUUGUGAUGAUGACAGCUGUCCCCUAGAAGGAUUUGGCUUGUCGAGCACUGAGACUACUCUCCCGAGCAGGUUUAUGCCUUCUUGCAUAAAGGUUUCCAUAAAGAUUUCUGGGAAACAAUUGCACGCAUAGCAAAGGAAGAGUCAGAAUGUAGUUAAACCUCCCAGCCCACACACAGUAACAGGAAAAUCCUGUUUGAAGAAUCAGGGAAGAGCCUUUUCUGGAUAACAAGAGAUAAUACGCUGAUAAUGCUGCAGCCCCCCCACCCUCUAUGUGGUCAUCCCCGUAGCGGAGUCCAGCCCACCGUGGUUUGAUAUUUUUCAGGGUCUGUCCAGGGUGGGUAAAGGAGAGAAGAGGUUCUAGGAAGUGUUUCUGCAGUUAAGCUAGCAACAAUUGUAUUUUAAUGAACUCGGGGGCACUGCAAGAAUAAUUUGUCUUCUGAUCCAUGCAUGGGUUUUCUUGUCCAGGCUGAAAGGGAAGAUGUUAAUAGGGAGAUGCAUAACACUGCAAGCUAUCCAGCAUGGGAGUGGGAAAAGAGAGGGAGGGUGCCUGCUUUGUCUCCUACUCAAGGAUCUGUGGGUGUUAAAUGUUGCUGGAACCACAGCUGUGUUAAGUAAGAGUUAAAGCACCAUCCCAAGACCAGAUUUACUCUUCUCAAGAGAAAGGCUGGAAACUUUCUGCACGACAAUACAUACAAAAAGAUUUUCAUUACCAUAAAAAACUAUUGUUGGGCUAGUAGUGUAAUCUGAACCCCAAAAAUGGACACCUUCAGGCAAAUGGAAGAUUUUUAGCCUAGAAUCACAACAGUUCUUCCCAGCAAAAUGCCCCAGGGAGCAGUAUAAAAUUCAAUUCAAUUAGAACGUGCUUCCUUCUAAUCUAAACAAAGAAGUAAAAAGAAAGACACCACCUACCUUAUCUAUUGAUUUUGGGAAAACUACUUUGCACCUCACUGCCAAACUAAGCAUUUGCUGAUGGACAGGGUUAUUUUGUUAAAAGAUAAAUGGGAGCUUUGCUUUUAAUUAGAAAACACCAACCAAACAAAAACCCCACAAAUAAACAUUUUUUAAAAUGUCUUGCAAAUCUUUGCCAACAUUUCAAUUUCUAUUUGUUUUUUCACAAUAGAUAACCAAGGCAUUAGUAAUUGCCAACACUGAUUUAUCUGAAAAACAUCAUAUCAAACCACUAGCAAACCUUACAUGGGUAAACAGAUUCUUGGAGAGGAAAAAAACUUUGAAAAUGUCCACUCGAACAGGGCCUUUGCUUGACAUAACAGUCCCAUAAGCAAAGCAGCUACAACUUCUAAAGGGGUGCAAAACUGGUUGUGCAACUGUUCUCAGAAAAUAUUUAUCAGUGAUUCAUUGUCAGAGCAGAGUGAUGUGCACCUACAGGCAUCCAUUACAGGUCUGCUUCCAUAAAGACAUAAGGGAAUAGCUCUUCCUCUUCAGAGCUUGAUGUUUACACAGUCUUUUUUAUUCCCAAUUGAUCUUCACAGUGUUAGUGCAAAGAUCAGAUGCUCCUCUGUUAGUCAAGUCCCCUCGCUCACUGUGAGCACUGUCACCACACAGUGAUGCAGGCUGCAAAUUCAUUAUAUAAAUCGAUUCCAGCAUGUCUAGAGGGUUACUGUGUGUAACUUCAAUACCAUCAAUAAGAAGUAGGAUCCGAUUGUUUUGGGCUUUGGAACUUUCAAAUUAAAGGCCAGCUACCUUCAGUUCCUUCAAUUUGGAGUAGAUAAGGAGUUACUUGUAAGCAUUUGGAAAAUAACAAGGAGAGGAGUAGUAGCUACCAUGGAUUCAUCAGGUAUAAAUUAUAUCUAGUAGAAAUUGCAAUCAGAUUUCUUUUUAUGAUAGACUAACAAGACUCAUAAAAAGCAAAAAGUUGUAGAUAUCAUCAGAUACGGGGACUUGAGUGAGAUUUUGGUCAUUGUGCACGUUCAUAAAGAAACUAACUGAAACCCAUACACGCCCAGUACAAAUCUGGUUUCAUAGAGUUUCAGCACAGAAAGGUGGCUACAGGAGUCUAUCCAAGUUUUUUCAAUGUUUCACUAACAAUGCAGAUGAUGGAAUAAAAAAUGCAUGUCUGAAGGUUACUGAUAGUGCAAAACUGGGAUGGCCACAAUUACAAUGAA